UUAAAUUGAAGAGUUUGAUCAUGGCUCAGAUUGAACGCUGGCGGCAGGCCUAACACAUGCAAGUCGAACGGUAACAGGAAGAAGCUUGCUUCUUUGCUGACGAGUGGCGGACGGGUGAGUAAUGUCUGGGAAACUGCCUGAUGGAGGGGGAUAACUACUGGAAACGGUAGCUAAUACCGCAUAACGUCGCAAGACCAAAGAGGGGGACCUUCGGGCCUCUUGCCAUCGGAUGUGCCCAGAUGGGAUUAGCUAGUAGGUGGGGUAACGGCUCACCUAGGCGACGAUCCCUAGCUGGUCUGAGAGGAUGACCAGCCACACUGGAACUGAGACACGGUCCAGACUCCUACGGGAGGCAGCAGUGGGGAAUAUUGCACAAUGGGCGCAAGCCUGAUGCAGCCAUGCCGCGUGUAUGAAGAAGGCCUUCGGGUUGUAAAGUACUUUCAGCGGGGAGGAAGGGAGUAAAGUUAAUACCUUUGCUCAUUGACGUUACCCGCAGAAGAAGCACCGGCUAACUCCGUGCCAGCAGCCGCGGUAAUACGGAGGGUGCAAGCGUUAAUCGGAAUUACUGGGCGUAAAGCGCACGCAGGCGGU
rnacentral:rRNA from 1 species